rnacentral:piRNA from 1 species
UCGUCGAGUUCUUCGCCCCCUGGUGU